rnacentral:rRNA from 1 species
UGGGAACGUGCCUUUUGGUUCGGAACAACCCAGGGAAACUUGGGCUAAUACCGGAUAAGCCCUUACGGGGAAAGAUUAUCGCCAAAAGAUCGGCCCGCGUCUGAUUAGCUAGUUGGUGGGGUAAUGGCCACCAAGGCAUUGAUCGGUAGCCGGCCUGAGAGGGCACACGGCCACACUGGCACUGAAACACGGGCCAGACUCCUACGGGAGGCAG